UACAGAGACUGCAAGCGUUAUUCGGAUUCACUGGGCGUAAAGGGUGCGCAGGCGGUUGGGUGUGUCAGAUGUGAAAUCCCGAGGCUUAACCUCGGAACUGCGUCUGAAACUACUCGACUAGAGUACUGGAGAGGGAAACGGAAUUCACGGUGUAGCAGUGAAAUGCGUAGAUAUCGUGAGGAACACCAGAGGGCGAAGGCGGUUCUCUGGGACGGUACUGACGCUGGAGACGCGAAAGCGUGGGGAGCGAACAGG
rnacentral:rRNA from 1 species